UGAUCCCAUACCUAACCGAGUCCAUUACAAUCUGUCAUUAUUAGACGGCACGAUAAAUUAAUCGGACAUAUAGUUUCAAAGAGUACACCGGUGUAAUAGGCCAUUUUAAACUUUCCCCAGAAUUUUAUUCCCCAAUGUUACAUUAUGUGACUUUUGUAGCCGUUUGGUCAAUUUUUCGACGCCUAUAUAUUUUACCAAGUGACGCGUAUUUUUA